AAAGUCGUAACAAGGUAUCCGUAGGUGAACCUGCGGAUGGAUCAUUCAAGUGAGGAUCUAUUCUUUGAUCCGCUUGUCAUGUGCAAUGUUUACCAUGUUUACUGUUUGUUGUGGUUACUUUUACAGUGGCCACAACGCAGUUUGUUUUUCUAUACACACAUUUUAUACAAUUUAUUACUGAUAAUUAUACAAGAACCUUGAAAACUGCCAGCAAUGGAUCCCUCGGUUCUC
rnacentral:misc_RNA from 1 species